rnacentral:lncRNA from 1 species
UGAUGCAGGGAUCACCGGAGAAGCCGAAGCGGACGCUUGGGAUGAGGAAGCUGGUGGUCUAGCUGGUUGCUUAUGUGUUAGGAGUCGAUUGAAUCAGGGUUCGAGAUCUGCAGUUAGACCCUUUUGGUUGUCGCAGCCUAAAAUUUGUCACAGUAGGGCUAGUAGCAUAUGCUCCUACAUUAUUAUGGCUUCAGUUUGAGAUGUUUGGUUUUCAGUUCAGUAUUUUUCUCCCUUUUUUCAAAUCGAGGAGCUUCGACGCUCCCGAUAUCGUCGAGAUGAAACAAAAACGAAUUCGAAAAGUUCCCAGCACACGUACAACCUCCCGAUAUCUCUCCCUAAUAAUAAAGCUACCAUCGUGGUUGUUUUGCACAAAACCCCCUGAAGUUUUUCGAAAUCAACCCGCAGUCCCGAUUUAAGUGAAUAACCAAUCGUUUUUGUAUUGUUUACAAAUAAUCCCCUGUGAGUUCCCGAAAUCAACCCGCAGUACAUGAUUAGCUCAGAGAACGAAACGUUUUUUUGGAGUUUUUGUAAGAAGCUCUUUCAGUUUUCACAAAAUAAACCCGCAGUACAUACUUGAGUAAAAAAAAA